rnacentral:rRNA from 1 species
UUAAGUUAGAAAGGGCGCACGGUGGAUGCCUUGACACUAGGAGUCGAUGAAGGACGGGACUAACGCCGAUAUGCUUCGGGGAGCUGUAAGUAAGCUUUGAUCCGAAGAUUUCCGAAUGGGGAAACCCACCAUACGUAAUGGUAUGGUAUCCUUAUCUGAAUACAUAGGGUAAGGAAGACAGACCCAGGGAACUGAAACAUCUAAGUACCUGGAGGAAGAGAAAGCAAAUGCGAUUUCCUGAGUAGCGGCGAGCGAAACGGAACAUAGCCCAAACCAAGAGGCUUGCCUCUUGGGGUUGUAGGACAUUCUAUACGGAGUUACAAAGGAACGAGGUAGACGAAGCGACCUGGAAAGGUCCGUCGUAGAGGGUAACAACCCCGUAGUCGAAACUUCGUUCUCUCUUGAAUGUAUCCUGAGUACGGCGGAACACGUGAAAUUCCGUCGGAAUCUGGGAGGACCAUCUCCCAAGGCUAAAUACUCCCUAGUGAUCGAUAGUGAACCAGUACCGUGAGGGAAAGGUGAAAAGCACCCCGGAAGGGGAGUGAAAGAGAUCCUGAAACCGUGUGCCUACAAAUAGUCAGAGCCCGUUAACGGGUGAUGGCGUGCCUUUUGUAGAAUGAACCGGCGAGUUACGAUCCCGUGCGAGGUUAAGCUGAAGAGGCGGAGCCGCAGCGAAAGCGAGUCUGAAUAGGGCGUUUAGUACGUGGUCGUAGACCCGAAACCAGGUGAUCUACCCAUGUCCAGGGUGAAGUUCAGGUAACACUGAAUGGAGGCCCGAACCCACGCACGUUGAAAAGUGCGGGGAUGAGGUGUGGGUAGCGGAGAAAUUCCAAUCGAACCUGGAGAUAGCUGGUUCUCCCCGAAAUAGCUUUAGGGCUAGCCUUAAGUGUAAGAGUCUUGGAGGUAGAGCACUGAUUGGACUAGGGGUCCUCAUCGGAUUACCGAAUUCAGUCAAACUCCGAAUGCCAAUGACUUAUCCUUAGGAGUCAGACUGCGAGUGAUAAGAUCCGUAGUCAAAAGGGAAACAGCCCAGACCGCCAGCUAAGGUCCCAAAGUGUGUAUUAAGUGGAAAAGGAUGUGGAGUUGCUUAGACAACUAGGAUGUUGGCUUAGAAGCAGCCACCAUUUAAAGAGUGCGUAAUAGCUCACUAGUCGAGUGACUCUGCGCCGAAAAUGUACCGGGGCUAAAUACACCACCGAAGCUGCGGAUUGAUACCGAAUGGUAUCAGUGGUAGGGGAGCGUUCUAAGGACAGUGAAGUCAGACCGUAAGGACUGGUGGAGUGCUUAGAAGUGAGAAUGCCGGUAUGAGUAGCGAAAGACGGGUGAGAAUCCCGUCCACCGAAUGCCUAAGGUUUCCUGAGGAAGGCUCGUCCGCUCAGGGUUAGUCAGGACCUAAGCCGAGGCCGACAGGCGUAGGCGAUGGACAACAGGUUGAUAUUCCUGUACCACCUCUUUAUCGUUUGAGCAAUGGAGGGACGCAGAAGGAUAGAAGAAGCGUGCGAUUGGUUGUGCACGUCCAAGCAGUUAGGCUGAUAAGUAGGCAAAUCCGCUUAUCAUAAAGGCUGAGCUGUGAUGGGGAAGCUCCUUAUGGAGCGAAGUCUUUGAUUCCCCGCUGCCAAGAAAAGCUUCUAGCGAGAUAAAAGGUGCCUGUACCGCAAACCGACACAGGUAGGCGAGGAGAGAAUCCUAAGGUGUGCGAGAGAACUCUGGUUAAGGAACUCGGCAAAAUGACCCCGUAACUUCGGGAGAAGGGGUGCUUUCUUAACGGAAAGCCGCAGUGAAUAGGCCCAAGCGACUGUUUAGCAAAAACACAGCUCUCUGCGAAGCCGUAAGGCGAAGUAUAGGGGGUGACACCUGCCCGGUGCUGGAAGGUUAAGGAGAGGGGUUAGCGUAAGCGAAGCUCUGAACUGAAGCCCCAGUAAACGGCGGCCGUAACUAUAACGGUCCUAAGGUAGCGAAAUUCCUUGUCGGGUAAGUUCCGACCCGCACGAAAGGUGUAACGAUUUGGGCACUGUCUCAACCAGAGACUCGGUGAAAUUAUAGUACCUGUGAAGAUGCAGGUUACCCGCGACAGGACGGAAAGACCCCGUGGAGCUUUACUGUAGCCUGAUAUUGAAUUUUGGUACAGUUUGUACAGGAUAGGCGGGAGCCAUUGAAACCGGAGCGCUAGCUUCGGUGGAGGCGCUGGUGGGAUACCGCCCUGACUGUAUUGAAAUUCUAACCUACGGGUCUUAUCGACCCGGGAGACAGUGUCAGGUGGGCAGUUUGACUGGGGCGGUCGCCUCCUAAAGUGUAACGGAGGCGCCCAAAGGUUCCCUCAGAAUGGUUGGAAAUCAUUCGUAGAGUGCAAAGGCAUAAGGGAGCUUGACUGCGAGACCUACAAGUCGAGCAGGGACGAAAGUCGGGCUUAGUGAUCCGGUGGUUCCGCAUGGAAGGGCCAUCGCUCAACGGAUAAAAGCUACCCCGGGGAUAACAGGCUUAUCUCCCCCAAGAG